GCCACGGUGGUCUAGCGGUUAGAACGCUGGACUUGUAAUCCUGGGGUCUCGGGUUCGAUUCCCGGCGGUGCCC
rfam:Zootermopsis nevadensis contig32244, whole genome shotgun sequence.